rnacentral:rRNA from 1 species
UUUUGACCUCAGUUCAGACAAGGCUACCCGCCGAAUUUAAGCAUAUUACUAAGCGGAGGAAAAGAAAAUAACAAUGAUUCCCCUAGUAACGGCGAGCGAACCGGGAAGAGCCCAACUUGGAAAUCUGGAGGCUUGUCCUUCCGAAUUGUAGUCUAGAGUAGUGCCAUCUGCGGCUGGCCGGUCCCAAGUUCCCUGGAAAGGGACGUCAGAGAGGGUGAGAGCCCCGUCGAGGCCGGUUUAGUCGCUCCACGAUGCGCUUACAAGGAGUCGGGUUGUUUGGGAAUGCAGCCCUAAGCGGGAGGUAAAUUCCUUCUAAGGCUAAAUAUUGGCGAGAGACCGAUAGCGAACAAGUACCGCGAGGGAAAGAUGAAAAGACCUUUGAAAAGAGAGUUAAAAAGUACCUGAAAUUGUUGAGGGGGAAGCGAUUAAAACCAGCGGGUGCUCCCUAGGUAGGCUUUGCCACACGCUAGGGGCUGGUCAACGUGGGUUAGUCGGGGGGGACAUUACUCCUGACUGACCGAGGAUUCGACGUUGGCGGAAUGGUUUUAAUCGGCCCGUCUAGAAACACGGACCAAGGAGUCUAA